rnacentral:rRNA from 1 species
AACGAACGCUGGCGGCAUGCCUAACACAUGCAAGUCGAACGAAGUCUUCGGACUCAGUGGCGCACGGGUGCGUAACGCGUGGGAAUCUGCCCUUGGGUACGGAAUAACUCAGAGAAAUUUGUGCUAAUACCGUAUAAUGUCUUCGGACCAAAGAUUUAUCGCCCAAGGAUGAGCCCGCGUAAGAUUAGCUAGUUGGUGGGGUAAAAGCCUACCAAGGCGACGAUCUUUAGCUGGUCUGAGAGGAUGAUCAGCCACACUGGGACUGAGACACGGCCCAGACUCCUACGGGAGGCAGCAGUGGGGAAUAUUGGACAAUGGGCGAAAGCCUGAUCCAGCAAUGCCGCGUGAGUGAUGAAGGCCCUAGGGUUGUAAAGCUCUUUUACCAGGGAUGAUAAUGACAGUACCUGGAGAAUAAGCUCCGGCUAACUCCGUG